GGCACUAUAGCCAAGUGGUUACGGCGAUAGAUUCGAAUGAAUGUUCAUCUAUUACUCUUUGAGUGCGCAGGUUCAAAUCCUGCUGGUGUCG